rnacentral:rRNA from 1 species
UUUUUAGGAAAUAAUUUAAGAUCCAAUCUGCUCACUGAUUAAUUUUAAAGAGCCGCAGUAUAAUGACUGUGCAAAGGUAGCAUAAUCAAUAGUUUUUUAAUUGGAAACUGGGAUGAAAGAUUAGACAAAAUAUUAACUUUCUUUAUUUUUGAAAUUGAAUUUAAAAUUUAAGUUAAAAUUCUUAAAUAAUUUUAAAAGACGAGAAGACCCUAUAGAGUUUUAUUAUUAGGGUUUAAAAUAUAAAAUAGUAAUAAUUUAAUUGGGGCGAUUUUGUAAAAUAAGAAACUUAAAAAUAAACAACCAUAAAUAAAUGAAAUUUUAGAUCAAAAAUUUUUUAAUUAAGUUUAAAUUACCUUAGGGAUAACAGCGUAAUUUUAUUUAAGAGUUCAUAUCUAUAAUAGAGAUUGCGACCUCGAUGUUGAAUUAAGGAAUAUACUGGAGCAGAAAUUGGUGUAUAUAAGUCUGUUCGACUAUUAAAUUC